AUUGAACGCUGGCGGCAGGCUUAACACAUGCAAGUCGGACGGUAACAGGAGGAAAGCUUGCUUUCUUUGCUGACGAGUGGCGGACGGGUGAGUAAUGCUUGGGAAUCUGUUUUAUGGAGGGGGAUAACUACGGGAAACUGUAGCUAAUACCGCGUAAUAUCGAGAGAUUAAAGUGUGGGACCGUAAGGCCACAUGCCAUAGAGUGAGCCCAAGUGGGAUUAGGUAGUUGGUGGGGUAAAGGCCUACCAAGCCGUCGAUCUCUAGCUGGUCUGAGAGGAUGACCAGCCACACUGGGACUGAGACACGGCCCAGACUCCUACGGGAGGCAGCAGUGGGGAAUAUUGCACGAUGGGCGCAAGCCUGAUGCAGCCAUGCCGCGUGAAUGAAGAAGGCCUUCGGGUUGUAAAGUUCUUUCGGUGGUGAGGAAGGUUGUAAUGUUAAUAGCAUUAUAAUUUGACGUUAGCCACAGAAGAAGCACCGGCUAACUCCGUGCCAGCAGCCGCGGUAAUACGGAGGGUGCGAGCGUUAAUCGGAAUAACUGGGCGUAAAGGGCACGCAGGCGGAUACUUAAGUGAGGUGUGAAAGCCCUGGGCUUAACCUAGGAAUUGCAUUUCAUACUGGGUAUCUAGAGUAUUUUAGGGAGGGGUAGAAUUCCACGUGUAGCGGUGAAAUGCGUAGAGAUGUGGAGGAAUACCGAAGGCGAAGGCAGCCCCUUGGGGGAAUACUGACGCUCAUGUGCGAAAGCGUGGGGAGCAAACAGG
rnacentral:rRNA from 1 species